rnacentral:rRNA from 1 species
AGCGAACGCUGGCGGCAGGCCUAACACAUGCAAGUCGAACGGACCCUUCGGGGUUAGUGGCGGACGGGUGAGUAACACGUGGGAACGUGCCUUUAGGUUCGGAAUAGCUCCUGGAAACGGGUGGUAAUGCCGAAUGUGCCCUUCGGGGGAAAGAUUUAUCGCCUUUAGAGCGGCCCGCGUCUGAUUAGCUAGUUGGUGAGGUAAUGGCUCACCAAGGCGACGAUCAGUAGCUGGUCUGAGAGGAUGACCAGCCACAUUGGGACUGAGACACGGCCCAAACUCCUACGGGAGGCAGCAGUGGGGAAUCUUGCGCAAUGGGCGAAAGCCUGACGCAGCCAUGCCGCGUGGAUGAUGAAGGUCUUAGGAUUGUAAAAUCCUUUCACCGGUGAAGAUAAUGACUGUAGCCGGAGAAGAAGCCCCGGCUAACUUCGUGCCAGCCGCCGCCGUAAUAC